GACGAACGCUGGCGGCGUGCCUAAUACAUGCAAGUCGAGCGAAUCUUGAGGUGCUUGCACCUCUUGGUUAGCGGCGGACGGGUGAGUAACACGUGGGCAACCUGCCUGUAAGACUGGAAUAACUUCGGGAAACCGGAGCUAAUACCGGAUAAUCCUUUUCCUCUCAUGAGGAAAAGCUGAAAGUCGGUUUACGCUGACACUUACAGAUGGGCCCGCGGCGCAUUAGCUAGUUGGUGAGGUAACGGCUCACCAAGGCGACGAUGCGUGGCCGACCUGAGAGGGUGAUCGGCCACACUGGGACUGAGACACGGCCCAGACUCCUACGGGAGGCAGCAGUAGGGAAUCUUCCGCAAUGGACGAAAGUCUGACGGAGCAACGCCGCGUGAGCGAUGAAGGCCUUCGGGUCGUAAAGCUCUGUUGUUAGGGAAGAACAAGUAUCGGAGUAACUGCCGGUACCUUGACGGUACCUAACCAGAAAGCCACGGCUAACUACGUGCCAGCAGCCGCCGCCGUAA
rnacentral:rRNA from 1 species